UGGAAAUCAGCAUAUGUCCAUUCGUGAAAGACGAAGUGUUCUGACCACACAAGUGGUCAGAACACUUGUGUCACACCUGAUGGAUCAAUAUGGAGAAAACCCAUCUUCAGACACUAAAGCAAUUCUGGCAUCUUCGAUUGUGGACCAGUUUCCAUGUUUAAGAGACAGCCAUGGCACAGGAUAUGACGCCUGGUUUACCCCCGGAAGACAACACAGGCCAGCAACUGGCUUUCUGGAGGAGC